AGACGAGGGCGAAAGCCGUAGUCGAUGGGAAUCAGGUUAAUAUUCCUGAACCUGUUGGUAGUGACGGAUGACGUAAGUUGUACAUGCUUAACGGAUUGUGUGUGCAGUGAAGUUGUCCCAGGAAAUAGCUCCAACAUUAAGACCGUACCCCAAACCGACACAGGUGGUCAGGUAGAGAAUACCAAGGCGCUUGAGAGAACUCGGGUAAAGGAACUAGGCAAAAUGGUGCCGUAACUUCGGGAGAAGGCACGCUGGUGGUAGGUGAGACCCCUUGCGGGUGGAGCUGACGCCAGUCGAAGAUACCAGGCCCCUGCGACUGUUUAUUAAAAACACAGCACUGUGCAAACACGAAAGUGGACGUAUACGGUGUGACGCCUGCCCGGUGCCGGAAGGUUAAGUGAUGGGGUGCAAGCUCCUGAUCGAAGCCCCGGUAAACGGCGGCCG
rnacentral:rRNA from 11 species